UGAAUGUCGCUGUGUUGUGUAAUCGUGUGUUGUGAAGUAGACUAGUUUCAUGUUUUAGUGAGGAAAAGGAAGUUUGUUGGUGGAUCGUGCUUCCUGUUGCUGUAAAAUAAUCGGUUGAAAAGAAACUGACUCCAUUGAUUUUUAGCUUUGAGUUGCCAAUAGUAGGAACACUGCAGUCUCUGCCUGAUAGCAAUUCUUCCUAUGUGAGGAGCAUCCAAGAAAAAUACAGUGUUCAUGUAAUGUUUCAUAACCGCCCCAAGCUGUAUGGCACCAUGGUAGUUAUAAAGGGCUGUGAGUUGGAGGUGGCUAUGGUAAAACAAGCGACUCUCUUGGUGAUACAACACGUGUGAAUCUCUUGCUGAUUUUCGAAUCUUUUGACUGAAGGACAGAAGAAUGAAAGCAUGGCUAUUCAAGAGAAAGCUAGAGGGGUCCCUUCUUCAGUGCUGAGACCUUCCGUUAGAGCUGCAAAAGAUUAUUGCCCCUUCUAUUUGAAUGAACAGACAGCUGCAUCGUGGCUGA